CGGGGAGUAGUUUAAGGUAAAUAAUGCCUGCCUGUCUGCCGACAGGCAGGCAAGGAGUGCGUGUGGUCUCGGUUCGAUUCCGAGCACCCCGACCA
rnacentral:tRNA from 1 species